rnacentral:rRNA from 1 species
CCUACGGGAGGCUGCAGUGGGGGAUAUUGCACAAUGGGGGAAACCCUGAUGCAGCGACGCCGCGUGGGUGAAGAAGCGCCUCGGCGCGUAAAGCCCUGUCAGCAGGGAAGAAAAUGACGGUACCUGAAGAAGAAGCCCCGGCUAACUACGUGCCAGCAGCCGCGGUAAUACGUAGGGGGCAAGCGUUAUCCGGAUUUACUGGGUGUAAAGGGCGAGUAGGCGGGAUUGCAAGUCAGAUGUGAAAACUAUGGGCUCAACCGAUAGAGUGCAUUUGAAACUGCAGUUCUUGAGUGAUGGAGAGGCAGGCGGAAUUCCCGGUGUAGCGGUGGAAUGCGUAGAUAUCGGGAGGAACACCAGUGGCGAAGGCGGCCUGCUGGACAUUAACUGACGCUGAGGCGCGAAAGCGUGGGGAGCAAACAGGAUUAGAUACCCCUGUAGUC